AGAAAAUUCGAAUUUUAAAAGAAAGUAAUAAAAAUUUCAAAGAGGUGAAUUUAAUGUUUGGCGCUUAAAAUCGCAAAUAAAUAUAUAUUUAAAGAGAGUUAACAGACACAUUGGAAUAGCAACCUUGAACACCCACAUUAGACAAAAACAUUUCAGCACGUGCUACAUGGCAAUAAACGCUGCAGAAAGCGCCAAGCAUACUAACCUUACAUACAUACAUACAAAUGUAUAUUUGCAUAUACGCGCGAUUGCGUACGACGCCGACCAUGUGAGUUUGCACUAAUCUUCUGUAGCAGAAUCGGCCGCCCACUCAACAGUGAUAUAAUGGUAAAGCGAAAAUGUAUAAAAAAUUUGAUAAAAACAAGUGUGAUAAGAGCAAAUACGAAUAAAGUGAACAUAUAAUGAACAAUUAAGCAAACGAAGCAAGCAAGUCACCUGCUGACAGUAGAAAAGAAAAUAUAUAUACAUAUAUAUAUUUUACAAAAGAUAAUAUAAGAGGAAAAUAACGAGUUGGACUGAGCAUCCACCAACAAACCAACAACAAAUGAAUAUUGUCAAUGGCUAUUCCCGUUUCUUCGUUUUCUUUUCGUUUUGGUACCUCCCAUUGGCUUGAUUGCAUGAAUGAACCGCUGAAAACUACCCCUGUUGCUAGCUAGCAAACGAGCAAAGCUGUGCCACAACUGAGUAACUUAAGGACUAAACAGGACUUUAUUGCAUUGCAAACAUGUACAAUCAACAGCACGGGAAGUGCCUAACAGCAUAUGCAGACAUUUGUAUGCGUUUGUUAGGCAAGACAAAGUUGGCGGCUGCGUCAGCAAAAUGCCGGGCAUGAAUGGUUGCUUAGCUUAUGGUUUUGGCGUUUGACAGUUCUUGCAGCACAACAAAUAUCGCUGGCGGCACAAUUGUUGACGCAUUUCAAAGUAAAAAAAAAGGUGAAUAAAAGUGCUUUGGCUCUCUGAAAGCACAUACAAAUGUAUAUAUACACAAAUUUUUAUAACAAAAACUAUUCUAUUCCAUAAGCAACCCUACAUAACACCAGGUGAAGUACAAUAUAUUGCGCUCUGCUGUUAUUAUUGUAGUGUUUAUAUGGUAAGCUGUCAGCAAAAAUGUGUGUACUCAGCAAAAAAAAAACGGUUUUCUCCAAAGAAAAGAGCAAAAAUUCAAAUAGCCAAACAAAAAUUCACUUAAACUUGCAUGCAAGCAAAACAAGCUUGGCUGUCCUCCAUCCAACCAUCCAUUAAUGAGCAGCAGCGCUCCACUCGAAAUGCAUUGUUGAUGAAUGAGCAUGAGAAAAGUAUGCGCUCAUUGUGAGCAUAGUAGCGCGCACAUACUGCGCUUGCUUGCUCUAUACGAAAUAUAUAAAAUAAAAAUAAACAUGAAAAAUGAGAGAGCACGGAAACGGAAGGUGUUGCAGCAGCAAUGAGAAUGACAGCAACGGCGGCAAAAUGUUAAGAAUUCCCAUAGUCAUACAUUUAUAUGCUAAACACAUGCACACCACAUAUGUGUGUGCAUAUGUCACACUUGCUUUGCUGAUGGUACAACACGACGUAUGCGUACCCUUGCCGCCUUACCGCCACGACAGCACAGCAAAGGCGGCAAAACCUCAACUAUGUUCGUAUUUUAACACGUUUCUGAUUAUAUGGCCACGAACAAACGUAUAUGGCAGAUAAUUUUUAAGUUUUUUCAAGAUCAAACUGCACUAAAAAAUAUAAAUAUUUUCAAACCCAUAAUGAAACACCAUAGAGUAACUCUGGGCAUAAAAAAAUUAUUUAUAAAGUAUAGGGUGUUGCGUUAAUCAUAGUAUUUAGUUUAUGUACGGUCGUUUCUAAUUAUGUGACCACCACUGUAUUUAUGUACAUAUGUAUGGACGAGUAUGUGCCCUUUUAGAGGUAGCUUGGAAUUUGUAUAACAGUUUUUGUAUUGUGCAUAGAACACAUUUUCGUUUCGUUGAGGAAGCACCGCUGUAUGCAUUCAUUGGCAGGUUAUACAGUCAGGUCAGUUGACAGACGGCAGCAGCGAAAUAAUCAAGCGAAUUUUCUUCUUACUGGCGCUUCAGUGUGCCAUAACAUACACUGGUACAAACCACAAAUUGUGAUUUUCAUUUCGAUCAAUCACUUAUGGAUAAAAUUUAAUAAUUUAAUAAUAUUAUUUGCGAAAGUUAAACAGUACGUCGGCGGCGACAGCGACAUCGAAAACGUUGCAAAAACGCUGAGGCUAAUCAAAUUUAAUAGAACUAUAGAAAAAAUAGCAAAAAUUAUAAAUAUUAAUUAAACGUCUUAAAAACAACAAAAAAGACAAAAAAGAAAAUUGUAUGAAUUUAAUUGAAAUUGUAAUACAGCAGUACAGUAGAGUAGCGGCGGCGGCAGCAACUUGAAUUGCGACAACGUCAGCGGUGACUGAGUCAACAGUACAGCAAAAACUUUAGCGCAAAACUAUUACAUAUGUAAAACUAACAGCAGUAGGUAACACCAGCAACAGCAACAGAGUGUGGAUGUUCUAUUGGCUCUGCCCACCAACAGCAGAGCAGAUACAUUUGGCUCUGACUGUGUACCUGCGGCGACUGCGGCGUCUGUGGGGCGACAAUGUUCUUUGUAACAAGCUCGUCGAUUUGUUGCUAUUGCCGUUGUUGCUUGUUGUCUUUAGACUUUUUUGCUUUUGGCUAAAAACAUUUAUCGAUCACGCGUCAAACGAAACGGAGCACCACUCGGUCGACAAACACACAUAUAUGUAAAUGUAUAUAAAACACGUAUUAUGGUUGUAUAAAAACGAAAAAUUAAAUAUUCAUUGUCAAACGGCGAAACGGAAAUUUUGCGGUCACUCGUUUAAGAGUAUACAAAACGUCAAAGAACGUGGGGGGAAAAUCGAAAUGAAAAUUCUAAUAUAAAGCAAAAUACCACAAAAACAAAACGUCAUAAACGCAACAUAUAAUAAGCAAGCAAAAUAAAAGCUAUUAUCGUUAGUAGAGUGAGCCGCAGCAAAAAUAGAAAGAAUUACAAAUUUACGCAAUUUCCACAUUUUGGGAAUAAUAAAUAAUAAACUAAGGUAGCACGCCUGCAAAUCAAAACACGUCCACAAAUCCUCACUGAAAUGAGAAAACACACCGCUACAAAAACAACAGAGCAUAACGUCAUUGAAACGCAUUUAAAAGUGAUUUUUCUUUUUAACAACUGAAUCCGAAUACAAUUCACAAAAUAAACCAAACGCAAGUCAAUUGAAAAAUUCUUCGAAGAAAAUACACCAGCACUGUGGGCGGUAGAGAGAAAACCGUCGACAAAAACGUGGAAAAUAUACUAGACAAAACACGUUGAGCACACAAAAGUCAAGGGUAAAAUGUUAGCACUUUUUUAAAUUUUUUCGAUUUAUUGGUAAAGAAAAUUUUAUUGGAAACAGGAAAAAGCAGAAAUUGCAUUAAAACGCAAAUAAAAGGGGGGAAAUGAGAAAAUAAAGUAGCUGAAACAAAAAAAAAAAACACAAAAAUACGCCCCAUAAAGUGUUUCAAGUAUUUCAAUGGCAACAACAAAAUCGAAAAUACUAUAAACACACGAUAUUAUAGCGAGCGCUAAGUUAAGCAGCAGUAAGCAAGCAAGCAGCUCAGCGUUUUAGAUAUACGAAAAAAAAACAACAAAAAAAACAACAAAAAAAACAAAAACAACAACAAAAAACAAAAGCAUAGUCAUAGAUAUUUGUAAAAAUAAAUGCUAAAAAAAAUUACAUAUAAUCAAGUAUAAAUACAACGUAAAGCAAAAUAAUAGCAAUUGACAGCUGACGGUGCUGCGGAAAAUAACAAGAAAAUAAGAUAAAAAUAAAAUGAAAAUAACAAGAAAAUCACAUAACAAAAAAUGCGCUGAAAAACGUGAAAAGCUGUAAAGAGUAACAAAGAAAAUUCUCUUUGCGCACAUACAUAUAAACAAGAUAGCUGAGAAAAUGGAAAAUAUAUAUAUAUGUAAACAUACAUAUAUUUAAAAUAACAGCAAUAUUUAAUAAUAAAAAUUACUACGCAGCUAAAGUGCAUUGGUUUACAUAUGCGAAUACAUACAUUAUAUAUGUAUGUAGAUAUGUUGUUUAUAACAACAGACAAUUGUAAAAUUCAACACAAAA